UCGUAGUUGGAUACGAAUAGGCCUUCGGGCAUGCACCUCAGCAGGCUGGCGACGGCUCUCGGGGAUAAACCCUCGUGAGCUGGCUGGCGGAUUGUAAUGUCACCUCGCGCGGGGAUAGAUCCUCUGCAGACGACUUUUGUGACCAAGCGGGUCGUGUAAGCGGUCAAGUAGCCUUGUUGCUACGAGUCGCUUAGCGUUAGCCCGACCUUGGCUAGAUUU
rnacentral:rRNA from 1 species